rnacentral:rRNA from 1 species
GACAGAGGUGCCAAGCGUUAGGCGGAAUCACUGGGCUUAAAGCGUGUGUAGGCGGCUUGUUAAGUUCCGUGUGAAAUCCCCAGGCUUAACCUGGGAAGUGCGCGGAAAACUGGCGAGCUUGAGUGCCGGAGAGGGUCGCGGAAUUCCCGGUGUAGAGGUGAAAUUCGUAGAUAUCGGGAGGAACACCAGUGGCGAAGGCGGCGACCUGGACGGACACUGACGCUGAGACGCGAAAGCGUGGGGAGCAAACAGG